UACAUACACUAGGGGUGUCAUCGAACUGAGAUGGGCCUGGCCCAAACCCUUUGAACCUGAUCUAGUUUGCGCUAGCGGAGGAAAGUGUAGUACCGAUUCA
rnacentral:ncRNA from 2 species